rnacentral:rRNA from 1 species
UACAGAGGGUGCAAGCGUUAUUCGGAAUUACUGGGCGUAAAGAGCGCGUAGGCUGUUCGAUAAGUUUGAUGUGAAAGCCCUGGACUCAAUCCAGGAAGUGCAUCGAAUACUGUCAGACUAGAGUAUAGGAGAGGACAACGGAAUUUCUGGUGUAGAGGUGAAAUUCGUAGAUAUCAGAAGGAACAACAGUAGCGAAGGCGGUUGUCUGGACUAUUACUGACGCUGAGGCGCGAAAGUGUGGGGAGCAAACAGG